GGAGUCUGGCCCGUAUUCCAGUGCCAGUGUGGCGGAUCAUCCUCUCAGACCCGCUAACCAUCGUCGCCUAGGUAGGCCAUUACCCCACCUACUAGCUAAUGGUACGCAGACCCCUCUUCAUACAGUAGCUUAAACCAGAGGCCACCUUUCCUCGCCUCACUUAUGAAAUGCGAGGGUAUCCGGUAUUAGUACCCCUUUCGGCGUGUUAUCCCGGAUAUGAAGACAGGUUAUCUACGCGUUACUCACCCGUGCGCCACUCUACUCACGGCCGAAGCCGCUUUCGCGUUCGACUUGCAUGUGUUAAGCACGCCGCCAGCGUUCGUUCUGAGCCAGGAUCAAACUACU
rnacentral:rRNA from 1 species